rnacentral:sRNA from 1 species
GUCAGGCAUGGUGGUGCACACCUGUAAUCCCAGCAUCUCCGGAGGCUGAGGCAAGAGGAUCACGAGUUCAAAGUUAGCCUCAGCAAAAGCGAGGUCCUAAGCAACUCAGUGAGACCCUGUCUCUA